rnacentral:rRNA from 1 species
GAUGAACGCUAGCGGCAGGCCUAAUACAUGCAAGCUGAACGGUAAAUGUUGUAGCAAUACAAUAUGAGAGUAGCGUAAGGGUGCGUAACACGUAUGCAAUCUACCCGCAACAGGAGGAUAGCUCCCCGAAAGGGGAAUUAGUACUCCAUAAGAUCACGAGAAGGCAUCUGAUUGUGAUUAAACUCCAAGGGGUUGCGGAUGAGCAUGCGCAUGAUUAGUUAGUUGGCGGGGUAACGGCCCACAAAGACGAUGAUCAUUAGGGGAACUGAGAGGGUGAACCCCCACACUGGCACGGGGAUACGGGCCAGACUCCUACGGGAGACAGCAGUAGGGAAUAUUGGCCAAUGGGUGAAAGCCUGAACCAGCCAUGCCGCGUGCAGGAAGAAAGCCUUCUGGGUUGUAAACUGCUUUUAUCUGGGGAUAAAAUACCCGUGCGCGGGGAAUUGAAGGUACCAGAUGAAUAAGCCACGGCUAACUACGUGCCAGCCGCCGCCGUAAUAC